rnacentral:rRNA from 1 species
UACGGAGGGUGCAAGCGUUAUCCGGAUUCACUGGGUUUAAAGGGUGCGUAGGUGGGUUGGUAAGGUCAGUGGUGAAAUCUCCGAGCUUAACUUGGAAACUGCCAUUGAUACUAUCAGUCUUGAAUAUUGUGGAGGUUAGCGGAAUAUGUCAUGUAGCGGUGAAAUGCUUAGAUAUGACAUAGAACACCAAUUGCGAAGGCAGCUG